GACGAACGCUGGCGGCGUGCCUAAUACAUGCAAGUAGAACGCACAGUUUAUACCGUAGCUUGCUACACCAUAGACUGUGAGUUGCGAACGGGUGAGUAACGCGUAGGUAACCUGCCUGGUAGCGGGGGAUAACUAUUGGAAACGAUAGCUAAUACCGCAUAAUAUUAAUUAUUGCAUGAUAAUUAAUUGAAAGGUGCAAUUGCACCACUACCAGGUGGACCUGCGUUGUAUUAGCUAGUAGGUGAGGUAACGGCUCACCUAGGCGACGAUACAUAGCCGACCUGAGAGGGUGAUCGGCCACACUGGGACUGAGACACGGCCCAGACUCCUACGGGAGGCAGCAGUAGGGAAUCUUCGGCAAUGGACGAAAGUCUGACCGAGCAACGCCGCGUGAGUGAAGAAGGUUGUCGGAUCGUAAAGCUCUGUUGUAAGAGAAGAACGGGUGUGAGAGUGGAAAGUUCACACUGUGACGGUAUCUUACCAGAAAGGGACGGCUAACUACGUG
rnacentral:rRNA from 1 species